AAUCAAUCAUCAGUUACACGGAAGGCAUUUUGUAUUUGUCAGAGGUAACAGCUGCCGUUAUACGUUACACUAAAUCACAACCAGUAGGUGGCAGUAGAGGACUUGCCUGCCGUGAUUGGUUUAUAGUUCUAGUUUGUUAAAAAUCAGUGAGGGCAAUAGCGGAACAAAAGCUCAAAUAUUUUUCAUCUUAAGGGAAAAUUGCUGCCUUGGAGGUCAAUGAGAUGUUCAGCAGCAACAACAUAUUCAGCUCAUCUACAAACCAAACGAGUCGGUGGCUGCUGGAGCGCAACAAAGCCCAAACAACGUCAGAGCUGUAAUAACCGGUAGUAAUUAAAGCUCAUUUCACGCCGCUGCAGUUUGUGAUGCUGCGCACACCGGGCUAUUUGUCAAAAUUAGCUCAAAGGCAGAGAAGCACAUCACACCUGUCAAUCAAUGAGCAACCUUUCUGGCUGCCCUGAUGCUGACGAAGGCUGUGGUGCUGAAAUAAAUUGAUGACUGAUGGAGCUGUUUUUUAAUGACAAACCUGACGCACUCCACUUUAAAAACACUCCACCUUGAGAAUUAAAUCCACGAAGAAUACAGGAACUAUUAAAAGAUUAAAGGAAAAAUACAAGUGCAGGCGUUCUUCCAGCAUUUCCAACCUCUUCUUCAGUUACUGUCUCAAAAAAAGAUCAAUAGCAUGUUCUGAAUACAAGAACUUCAUUUAGCUGACUGCAUGCUCAGUGCUUUCAUGAUAGAACAGCUGGGAAAGUUUUUUUUCUAACUUUAAGCUUAAUGUUUCAGUCUUUAAGUUGGUCAUGAUCGGUACUGCAUCUAAACAACUGUUAAACAUGUAAAAAUGAAUGGGAUCAAACAAUUUCCUGCACUGAUGCGAAUAAAACCAGAGCUUAUAGCUGUUCUAUAGAAAUUAAAAGUCUUAUUUUGUCCUUGUGUUUUCAUUUCAAUACGAAACCAUAAAAAUUGCUCCAACCAAACCAUAAAAAUGGAAAAUUGGAAUUUUAACAGAACGACAGUGAAGAGAUC
rnacentral:lncRNA from 1 species